GAUGAACGCUGGCGGCGUGCCUAAUACAUGCAAGUCGAGCGAACGGACGAGAAGCUUGCUUCUCUGAUGUUAGCGGCGGACGGGUGAGUAACACGUGGAUAACCUACCUAUAAGACUGGGAUAACUUCGGGAAACCGGAGCUAAUACCGGAUAAUAUUUUGAACCGCAUGGUUCAAAAGUGAAAGACGGUCUUGCUGUCACUUAUAGGUGGAUCCGCGCUGCAUUAGCUAGUUGGUAAGGUAACGGCUUACCAAGGCAACGAUGCAUAGCCGACCUGAGAGGGUGAUCGGCCACACUGGAACUGAGACACGGUCCAGACUCCUACGGGAGGCAGCAGUAGGGAAUCUUCCGCAAAGGGCGAAAGCCUGACGGAGCAACGCCGAGUGAGUGAUGAAGGUCUUCGGAUCGUAAAACUCUGUUAUUAGGGAAGAACAUAUGUGUAAGUAACUGUGCACAUCUUGACGGUACCUAAUCAGAAAGCCACGGCUAACUACGUG
rnacentral:rRNA from 1 species